AGCUCCAAUAGCGUAUAUUAAAGUUGUUGCGGUUAAAAAGCUCGUAGUUGGAUUUCUGUUGAGGUCGACCGGUGCGCACUCCGUGUGUUAUUUGGUUCGGUCUCGGCAUCCUCGUGGGGAACGUUUCUGGACUUUAUUGGACAGGGCGAGAUUCACGACUUUUACUUUGAGGAAAUUAGAGUGUUCACGGCAGGCAAGUGCUUUGAAUACAUUAGCAUGGAAUAAUAAUAUAGGACCUUCGUUCUAUUUUGUUGGU
rnacentral:rRNA from 1 species